GGCUCAGGACGAACGCUGGCGGCGUGCCUAAUACAUGCAAGUAGAACGCUGAGGACUGGUGCUUGCACUGGUCUAAGGAGUUGCGAACGGGUGAGUAACGCGUAGGUAACCUACCUCAUAGCGGGGGAUAACUAUUGGAAACGAUAGCUAAUACCGCAUGACAAUAGGGUACACAUGUACCUAAUUUAAAAGGGGCAAUUGCUUCACUAUGAGAUGGACCUGCGUUGUAUUAGCUAGUUGGUAAGGUAACGGCUUACCAAGGCGACGAUACAUAGCCGACCUGAGAGGGUGAUCGGCCACACUGGGACUGAGACACGGCCCAGACUCCUACGGGAGGCAGCAGUAGGGAAUCUUCGGCAAUGGGGGGAACCCUGACCGAGCAACGCCGCGUGAGUGAAGAAGGUUUUCGGAUCGUAAAGCUCUGUUGUUAGAGAAGAAC
rnacentral:rRNA from 1 species